rnacentral:lncRNA from 1 species
GGUGAUUAAGGUGAUCAUUAGACGAGCAAUGCAUGAGAGCGACCUACCGGAGCGACGCCAUGAACUCGCUCGCCAUCUACGCUUCGGAGCGACCUCCUAGAGCGACAAGGCGAAGUCGCUCCAGCUCCUAGAGCGACCUCACCACAGCGACACCCAGAGGUCGCUCGGGUUGUGUCGAUUUGAGAGCGACGAACAAGCCGGGAGCGACCUCCUAGAGUGACA